rnacentral:rRNA from 1 species
UACGUAGGGGGCUAGCGUUGUCCGGAAUCAUUGGGCGUAAAGCGCGUGUAGGCGGCCCGGUAAGUCCGCUGUGAAAGUCGGGGGCUCAACCCUCGGAUGCCGGUGGAUACUGUCGGGCUAGAGUGCGGAAGAGGCGAGUGGAAUUCCUGGUGUAGCGGUGAAAUGCGCAGAUAUCAGGAGGAACACCAAUUGCGAAGGCAGCUCGCUGGGACGGUACUGACGCUGAGGCGCGAAAGCGUGGGGAGCAAACAGG